rnacentral:rRNA from 1 species
AGUGAACGCUGGCGGUAGGCCUAACACAUGCAAGUCGAACGGCAGCACAGUAAGAGCUUGCUCUUACGGGUGGCGAGUGGCGGACGGGUGAGGAAUACAUCGGAAUCUACUUUUUCGUGGGGGAUAACGUAGGGAAACUUACGCUAAUACCGCAUACGACCUACGGGUGAAAGCAGGGGAUCUUCGGACCUUGCGCGAUUGAAUGAGCCGAUGUCGGAUUAGCUAGUUGGCGGGGUAAAGGCCCACCAAGGCGACGAUCCGUAGCUGGUCUGAGAGGAUGGUCGGCCACACUGGAACUUGGACACGGUCCAGACUCCUACGGGAGGCAGCAGUGGGGAAUAGUGGACAAUGGGCGCAAGCCUGAUCCAGCCAUACCGCGUGGGUGAAGAAGGCCUUCGGGUUGUAAAGCCCUUUUGUUGGGAAAGAAAAGCAGCAGGUUAAUACCCCGCUGUUCUGACGGUACCCAAAGAAUAAGCACCGGCUAACUUCGUG